CAAGAUCAUAGGGAUCCGAUUUGAGCAUGUGAAGAAUUGCCUGUAGCAAUAGAAAUAAAUCAGCAAUCAUGAAAGGAAGGUGGGGAUUUGAGAGAAUAGGAAAUUAUGGGUGCUGAAAUUGGAUCCUGCGAAUGGGUGGAUUGUCGAGAAUUCUUCAUCCUUCAAUCUUCAAGCCUUGAGGGAGAUUUUUAGAAGAGAGAUGGGAGAGAGAGGAAGAAGGAUGGGAGGA
rnacentral:lncRNA from 1 species